rnacentral:rRNA from 1 species
CGUGUGGGCAACCUGCCCUGUACUGGGGAAUAAUCAUUGGAAACGAUGACUAAUACCGCAUGUGGUCCUCGGAAGGCAUCUUCUGAGGAAGAAAGGAUUUAUUCGGUACAGGAUGGGCCCGCAUCUGAUUAGCUAGUUGGUGAGAUAACAGCCCACCAAGGCGACGAUCAGUAGCCGACCUGAGAGGGUGAUCGGCCACAUUGGAACUGAGACACGGUCCAA